GAUGAAGAACGCAGCGAAAUGCGAUACGUAAUGUGAAUUGCAGAAUUCAGUGAAUCAUCGAGUCUUUGAACGCACAUUGCGCCCCCUGGUAUUCCGGGGGGCAUGCCUGUCCGAGCGUCAUUGCUGCCCUCAAGCACGGCUUGUGUGUUGGACCUCCGUCCUCCUCCCGGGGGACGGGCCCGAAAGGCAGCGGCGGCACCGCGUCCGGUCCUCGAGCGUAUGGGGCUUCGUCACCCGCUCUUGUAGGCCCGGCCGGCGCUUGCCGACACAUCAAUCUUUUUUCCAGGUUGACCUCGGAUCAGGUAGGGAUACCCGAUGAACUUAAGCAUAUCAAUAAGCGGAGGA
rnacentral:misc_RNA from 1 species